AGAGUUUGAUCAUGGCUCAGGAUGAACGCUAGCUACAGGCUUAACACAUGCAAGUCGAGGGGAAACGACAUCGAAAGCUUGCUUUUGAUGGGCGUCGACCGGCGCACGGGUGAGUAACGCGUAUCCAACCUGCCCAUCACUUGGGGAUAACCUUGCGAAAGUAAGACUAAUACCCAAUGACGUCUCUAGAAGACAUCUGAAAGAGAUUAAAGAUUUAUCGGUGAUGGAUGGGGAUGCGUCUGAUUAGCUUGUUGGCGGGGUAACGGCCACCAAGACGACGAUCAGGUAGGGGUUCUGGAGAGGAACGGUCCCCCACAUUGGAACUGAGACACGGUCCAAACGUCCGUACGGGAGGCA
rnacentral:rRNA from 1 species